UUGACCGAUACAAUUACUAGAUUUCUUCUAUGCACAGCUUAGCCACACGUUCUGGAUAACUCAGGAUGAAUGUGCUAAUAGUUCAAAAUAUUUUUGUUCCAGCAAUCAAACCUGGAGCCCCUGCCACAAAACUUUUGUUUCCGCUAACCGAUCCGCAUGCCGUCAUUCAACUGGAGGAUUUUGUUCGGAUAGAUCCCGACAUGAGACGCAAAUAUAUAAAAUUUCUGCGCCGCAUCAAAACACCACGACAAAGCCUUGAAGAUACGUUUGGUAAAAUCUGCACCGAUCGAGCCAUCUUCCGUCACUUUAACUGGACGUCCAACAAGUCCUCCCAAUCUAUGACGCAGCGAGAAGCACUGCAGCAUUAUUGGAUAUUCACAGAUUGUUUGUUUGAGGCUUGGAGCAGUCACGGAUUUACCAUGGAAACGUUGAAAUAAAAAAUGGCAAGCGUUAUCAAACGCAUCUAUGUUCGCAACAACGUGCGCAAUUUUCGAGCUAGGUCUAAGAUUGUAGAGCUUUGAAGAUUCCUCGGAUAUGAAUAAAUGUAGAAAAACGAUAUUUCCACUUUUGAAACUAAUUCUGAGACUUGCUUAUCAUUAAUCAUUCUAGAAAGUAACUUUUUGCUUAAUUUCAUGGUAUGGAAUCAGCUGAACCGCCCCAGAGAAUUUCACAUCUUGGAGUUACAUCGCUCUCCACCGCUGGGUUCAACUUUCCUAUACGAUCGGAACAAGCAAUAGAGGAGCUCGAAUUGUCCGUUCGAUGUAACGAAAAAUCCAGGAAGCAAUAUAUUAAGUUCCUACGCUCGAAACUGACCGACGAUCAAAGCGUUUUAACCGUGUUUCAACACAUCUUUACCUUCCAAUCCCUGGUCGGAUACUGCUGGACGAAGCGUUCCAACUUGGAAAGAAAAUCCAUGAGAGAUUAUGAAAUCUUCACUAGUUGCAUGUUAGAUGCCUGGCAGUGUAAGGGUGUAACGGAGGAAUCCCUAGCCGAGCACAUCCGUCACGUGAUCAGAAACGUAAAUAUUUCAAAACGGAAGUUGAAAAUUCGACUAAGGAAACGAUAUUCUAGUACUUCAUUUAGUAAUUGAACCAGUACUGUUUAUUUGGAAGUGUUGGAGAAGCCAAACAAUAAAUGAUCCUUUCAAAUAAUUUCCAACGAAGAGAUUGUCAUUGAGAUGCUUUUCAAAUUCUAGUACUACGUUUAAACCAACAAUUUCAAUUUCUUUUGUAUAUUCUCUAGCCAAAAAUAUCGCCAAGUUGCGGAAUCGGUUGCAAAGUCUCAACAAAAUGAUCAGCAUGGCGUCGAGUCGAAACGAAAAGAUGCAACUGGAGGUUCAAAUCUGUGACGUCAACAAGGAACUGCAGGAGUUGCUUAAAUCUGCCGAGCAGCAGAAGCAGCGUGCCACCGCUCAUGUUGAUGGUUUCCAUUUUCCGUUGACAUCCAUGGUCGAAAUCGAACGAUUGGAGGAAGCCGUUCGGAAGGAUUUCGAUGUGAGGCAGCAAUAUGUACGCUACCUGUCGCUCAAGAAGCCCCCGACAAUGGACGUAACUAACUUUUUCUCGUACCUCUUCACCGACGAUGCUCUGAUGGGCUACAACUACUCCGGAACCAACAACAUUGGCGAUUCGAAGAUGCCGAUGAGGAACUAUGAAAUUUUCAUCGAUUGUAUGAUAGAAGCAUGGGCUGAUCAUGGAUUGACGCACAUACUGCUCGAGGAGAAGAUCAAACUUGUGGUGAGAAAGCUUACCGCUCGACGUCGCAUGCAGAAGUUUCGGCAGAGAAAAUCAAUGAAAGUUUGAAGCUUGUUGAAUAAACGUGAAAUGUUCAAAAAACUUUGUAUAUUGUGUUAAUGAAUUUAAAUUAAUAACUAAUGAAUGGUAAUGACAACAAUUUCCCACUAUGGAUUUCAGAUCCCCUAAAACCACGAAAAAAGGUAUUCACGAGGACGGUAGAACUGGAUGAGUGUGCAGCCGCAGAUGACGAACAGCGCUACAUGUUCAUCGUGAGUCGAAAGGGAGGUAUUCUGUUGGUGCACGAAAACCACAUCUAUCGAUCCAAUAUGCGACGUCAGGGUCCCCACAAGAACAUACUGUACUGGGAGUGUGUACACAAUCGUUCGCAGAAGUGCCGUGGUCGACUCAAGAGCGAAGGGAAUUACCUGUUUAUUUCGAACACCAAUGCCACGCACAAUCAUCCUUCAGAUUUGAAUCGAAUCAACCGAGCUAAGGUCGGAGGAGAGCUGACAUACCGCACAUUCUUUUCACUUUUCAAAUGACAUGUUUCGUUGUUGAUAUGUAACUGUUUUCAAUUAAAUUUCAAUAUAUAAUGUCGAUGAAUCUAGUACUAUACCAUCCAUACUAAUUUUCGAUAUUGUUGACACGUUUUCGUCGUUUUUUUUCUAGUACUGCACAUGCUCGUCAUUCACCGUUGGAAGAACUGUUCAACUAUGAUUAAACUAAAACCAACUAAUUUUGCUAACAUUUUGUAACUACAAUUUCAGUUCAGGAAACGUCCCCGACAUUCGAUGCGCCACAGUAUGUCAUUAGCAAGUGUGGAACCGUUCAGCUUCGGCACAAUGGUCAUCUUUUCAAUCGACACGUCAAACGAAACGAUAUCACAUACUGGCGCUGCUCGCAGUUUACCGUGUACAAGUGUCGCGCCCGGAUUAAGUCCGUACUCGAAGAGUUUUUCAUGUUGAACGUGGAACAUAACCACCAGGUAGUGGCCUCACCCAGAGCGUACGGAUCUUUGAAGCGACUGAAACAACAACUUGCAAGAGAUUAAUAAAAUACACACGUCUUUGGAAGUCAAUCUAGUACUUUACUUUAUUAAAUUUAGGAAUUCUCGGACAGUUUUGCAUUGACCUCAUGAUUCCAAUCCACAUUUCAGAUUUCUAUGUCCGAUACGUUUCCGGAUUUCGAGGAAGUCGCAAGCUAAAACUAGGAGAGUUCAGCUAUACCAAAAACAAGGAAAGUGCAAACAAAACGUACUGGUCUUGUGCGAGGGCAGGCAUGAGCAAAUGUAAAGCAUGGGUUCUAACCUACACACUGAGAAACGGGGAAGAGAACUUGGUGGUUCGAUAUCCAACACACAAUCAUGAACCAUUCUAGUACUGCAAUGUUAUAUGAUACUCUGUAAAUAAAACAUUAAUGAGUUGGUGGGAACUGUGGUGGACUUUUCCUCUAUGUCAUAUAUUUGUGUUACGUUGAAGCAUAACUAAUCAGUUAAUUUGGAUUCCAUUUUAGUGUUUAAAAUUGUUAACAUUGAAGAAGUGGAAGAUGAUCAACCCAAGGAAAUAUACUUCACCGUCGGGCAACGUGGUUGCGUUUUGCUGCACGUUGAUGGCUACAAAUUCGUGAAGAAUCGUAAGGGGGCAUACAAAACCUAUUGGAUCUGCGCUAAAAAGGGGAGUACAGCCUGCAAAGCUAGAGUCAUCACCCCGGCAAACAGUGAGGAGAAAAAGGUUCCCACGCUGAUAGCUCGCAGCAGAACACAUAAUCACCCGGUAUUCGUUGAGCGAAAAUCCCGCAGUUCUGCUACUCAUAGGAUUUUACUCUUCGAAGACCCAUAGUUAAAUAAAUCUAUCUCAACUGAAACUUUGUGUUUCGUGCUAUCGUUUUGAAUUCUGAAGAGUGUCGUUUGUGCAUGAGUUUUGGAUUAAUGGAUUUCUAUUUUCCUUUAUAGAUGGUAACGACAUUGACCAGAUUUACUUCAUUGCGGAGAUCGUCGGUUCUGGUUCUGCAGAGGGAAUGAAAGUACCCGCAAAGAAGAAAAGUAGAUCCAAAUCCGCAACGAUGUCUUCGGCAAACAACGAAAUGUUCAAUUUUGAAAGCGAUGGUUCACCUUCGAAGCCCACCUACACAACCGGCCGGGGAAAUAACGUUCUGAACUACCAGGGCCACCGCUACAUCAAGAACAAUGCGCACAGCGGGAAAAUUUACUGGAAGUGUACCAAAUGGCACAGUGGGUGCAAAGGACGUGCCAUUACCAACGUGCUGAUUCCGGGCUUGGUUGUUCUGAAGAAUACACACAACCACGAAUCAUUGUAAUUUCAUCAACGGCGGUUUUUGAUUUGAGGCCAAAUAAAAAUGAACAGAAUUGAUCGACCUUCCUCAUAUUUUCCAACCGUGAUUUUUAAGUAAUAUUUGUUUAGUUAUCUUGAGUUCAUAAGAUUCCGCAAUACCAAUGGUUGAGAAGUUUCUUUGUGAACUUUAAAGUUUCUUAAGAACCUAUUGUUGAAAUUUAUGAAAAAAUCGCCGCAAACUUCAAACACAGUUUCAAUGAUCUUGUAAUUUAAUCUUGUACCGACUUUUCGAACCCUUUAAGCAGAAUACCCUUUUCGAAUGAGUGUAAUCAGUUUCGUACCUUCUAAUUCCGCCCUAUGUUGCUUAUCCUUUGACAGAUACGCGUAUUUCGACUACCACUUGUAAUCUUCCUCAGUGUCAGUUAUGUCAGAGUGGAUAACUGUAUCUGUCAAAGGAUAAGCAACACAGGGCGGAAUUAAAAGGUACGAAACUGAUUACACUCAUUCGAAGUUGUAAUUUAAUGUUUAAAACUAGUACUACGUGAAACGGUGAUGAAUCGCCAUGUACCAAAAAAAAUCACCCCAGUAAAAUAGUAAUAAUUUGCGCUGCAAUCGUUUUAUGAGUUUCCAUUUCACGUAGUCUCUAAUGUUUAUUAAAUCUAGUACUACAUCGAAUAAUGCAUCAACUCUUAUACAGUUUAGCGCCCUUUCAUACCAACAUUAUGCUCUAGUUUCAAUCGCAACCACUUCUUGCAUCGCCUAAUUUUAGCCGUGAAACAUCCAGUCAAAGCGAUUGCUGUGGUAGUACUACAAAUGCAAGCUUAGUUGUGACCGACGAAAUCAAUCCAUCACCAUGAGAAGUCAUCGUGCAUCGUCGGAGGCAGUAGUAGUAGUAGUAAUUAACUGGCCCACUGUACCACGACAGAUGAAAUCCUUCCUUAACAAUACCUUCCUCAGAAGAAGCAGCAGCCCAUUGGCUGUCACAGGAUUCUUCGAACAAUCUGUACAGUCUAGAUCAUGACCAAACAAGAGAAAAUAAAACCGUUAUUUUGAGCUGUUGUUGUUCGUUAAAAUUUGUACUACAUGAAUACUCUAGUACUUCACAGUAAUUCCUACAAAGCAUGACGUUUUAUCAUUUUCCACAGAAUCCUUCGCCAGGAGGAAGAUUUACGAACGGUUUAUGCUUCCGAAAGCCGGAAUGGAAGUGGCCCGGUUCGGGAUCAGCCAACGAGGAGCGAAGAAACUGAUAUGCCAUGGGUACGAAUACGUCAAGGACCGAGACUUUCCGGAUUCGACCAAUUGGCGCUGUGCUUUGUUCCGUCGGCAGAAGUGCCGCGCUCGUGCCAUAACCAAAAUCAUAGACGGUAUCACCUACGUAAGGCUUACGAACGAUGCCCACAGCCACGAUGUCCGGAUGUACCGGAGGCAUCCAGUGAUUAUUACGAAAGCGGACGAAAUGGAGUCUGCAUAAGAAAGAAAGUAGUUUAUUUGUAGAAUUAUUGUGAGAAAAAUAUACGUAUAUCAGAAUGGGUUCAUUGUCCUGUUUAAACUAUGUUUCCUUUAGUGGUUCCAAUGACGUACUAGAUUACUACUGCACUAAUACGAACUAUUCGCAUUUUUAGGUGUUUUCGAACCGGCUGUAUUCGGAACUACUCGUCGUGGUCAACAGAAACUGAUACACAAUGGGCAUGCGUACACCAAGGAUCGACAGUCGGCGAAGACUUGCAACUGGAAAUGUUCCCUCUUUACGCGGUACAAGUGUAAGGCUCGUGCCGUUACGAGGGACAUCAAUGGCGUGGUGUACGUGAAAGUCACCAACACGUUACACUACCACCCGGUGGAGCAGUACAAGAUCAACUACCGAAGGCUGGCCGUCAACCCAAUGAGUUUGGCGAACACUUUUAUCCCGCAUGUCAAGGAUGAAUCGCUUUGAGAUGUGCAAGUAUCGGUUAUAAGUAAGAGUAGAGUUUCUCGUUGCAAAUAAAUUAUGUGUGUUAGUGUGAUUCUAGUACUUCAGUAGAUAUAUUCACCCUAAUGAAACACUCUGUAAGAUUACCUUCGAUGACCAAUUAUUAUUUACUAGGAGUAGAAAUGAUUCUACUUCAGUUCUAGUACGUCAUUGUCAUACACUAAACUAUUCUGUGCUUUUAGAUGACAAAGCUGUUUUCACCGAGCGAGCCCUGUACGAGUACACCUCCCGAGGAACGCAGCGCUUGCUUCAUGGCGGAUAUUACUUCAGCAAAAACAAAACCAACGAAUCGAGCGGACGGGUGAACUGGAAGUGCCAAUUUUACCAACGGCUGCGCUGCAAAGCAAGGGCCAUCACGAAAAACAUCAACGGAUACGACUACGUGCGCGUCACCCACGAAGAGCACACCCAUCGCCAGGAUCUCACCGAGAAUGAGUUUCGUCGUCCCAAACGGAAAAGAGAUUUCUGAGUUAGGAAGUUUGAGAUAGUAACUGCGACACAAUCAUUUGAUGUAGAAGUACAUGCCAAUGAGUUUUAAUAAAAACUUAUUUAUUUUUCAUUGUAUGAAAUUACUAUCCGUAAUUCUAGUACCUCGUUUUUAGUAAUAGCCUAACAGUUUAGAACGACCUCAUCAAAUUAUUAUUUUCUUGUUCACUGUGGAGUAACUUGAGCUAUUACCAAUUUAAAUUUAUUUUCAGGCUGUUUCAGCUUGAAAAAUAAAGAAAUGCAUCGAAGCGAUUGCUUAAAUCUAGUACUCCAAUAGAAAAAAAACCUUAUAACGGCCGAAAGAACCCAUUUGCUCAAAAGAAGAUGACAUUCUAAGCCAUAUUUUAUCAUAUUUUUUGCUCUAACCUAUUCAUAAUUUUUCAUCCAACUUAUCCCAAACAGUUAAGCUGAAAAUUGUUCAAUAUUCGACACGCAAAUCGGACGAGCACUACGACGAUGAUGAUGAAGACGGCGACGGUGAGGAUGAUGAAGCGAAGACCCAAUUCCCGUUGGACCUGAAGAUGGUGGUAGGCCGCAAGGGACGCCCAAUGCUGCUGAUGGGUGGCCACGCCUUUUUCCGCAACAACACCCACAAGAGCAAAACCUACUGGCUGUGUGCCAAGAGCCGUUCGCUGAAGUGUCGCGCCCGAAUCAUUACCCUGGACGGCAGCGCCGGACUGAUCCUCAAGAAUCAGGUUCAUAAUCAUCCAGCGGCGCUGGAAAGGUCCUAGGCGAGGAUAAGAGUUAUCGAGUUCGUGCGGUGACAUAACGUUCCGGUACUUGAACAAAUGUUUGGUUUUCUCUACAUAAUACGUUGUGUAGUAAUUAUUUUCAGCGAUUGAGCGUAUUGUAAUUUGGAUUCUGUGCAAAUAAAAUGCCCGGAAUUGAGUUGAUCUAGUACUUCAAUUACUGAAUGGGCAAUGAAGGGUAAAUAACUUGCAAAACUUCUGUUUGAGAUUUCCUUUUCUUUUGAAAUAAAGGUUCUGUUUUUGAAUGCACCAAUCGUGUUUUAGUUUAUCUCACUCUAGUACUGCUAGAAAAUCUACUAACAUGCUACAUUCUUUUUUCAGUAACUACAGUUAUCGAAUACGUUACGGAGGACAAGGUCAAACAUGAAAAACCGAUCAAGCCUACUCGCUCCAAGCGGACCAAACUCAAAUAUAACGUAAAGGAGAUUAUAAACAGUACCCAAGGAGUCCCCGUGGUGUACCAGAACACACGUUUCGGAGCGGCUCAGGUACUCUUGGAGGACAUGGUGUACUCGUUCACCUUCACGAAGAACCAAAUAAGCCACUACAUAUGCAGCCGAUACAGGAGCCAACAGUGCCCGGCCGAGGUAGUGGUCAGCAACAAGCUGGUCUACUAUCUCUGCGCUGCCCAUAAUCACGAUUUGGCCACCGGUCAGCAAUUGGAUGGUAUCUGUAGGUCGUAUCAAGCUAGAGAUUCGACGUAGGUGUUGAUUGGAUGUGGUUGUAAUGUACCGGAAUGGAGAAAAGUAUGUACAGCAUUCCUAGAUGACCAGUAAAGUAUGCGUUGACCUGAUUCCUUCGGGGCCGGAGAAGUCACCCUCCGAUAUCAUCUAAGGAUAGUUGACCAUGUCUCGUGGAAUCGCAUAUGUCCGAGUUUAUCUCAUACUUAUUUUAUAAUUUCAUUGCCAUUUCUUUUUCAGAUUGCAAAACAUACAGAAUUCAUAACAUGAUUAUUUACAUAGCUACGUGAAGUACUAUAUUAAGGAAGAAUACAAAAUCAAAUACUAUAUUCCUACACUAUCAAGAAAGUUUUGUUUAUGAUUUGGUUAAACAGUAUUGAAUUGACAAUUCAUCAGUGAGAACUGUCACUCUAACGCAACAAUCUUUCCAGAGGACCGUGAAAUCACCUUCAUUGUGGGAAGACUCGGCAACAUGCAGUUGAUCAUCGACGGCCACCUGUACACCCGGUCUCAAAUCAGGGAACGCAUCAUCAUUUGGCACUGCUCUCGGCAAAGAUCUGGAUGCAAAAGUCGGAUCAGCACCCUGCGAGGCGAACCGGGGACGGCCUACUCCUUUCGUGAGGACCACAAUCACGAGAGCAAAUUUGACUUUAAGAAUAGGGACAUUAAGGUUCUCAAGGUGGCCAAACUGUUGAUUGUUGGCAAAAACCGUUAGAUUGCGUUGUUUUUAAUUUCAGGCUGAACAAUAAAAUAGAAAUUAGUUUUUCGUAACUUUAGUCUUGAUUCUGUUGAACACAAUUCAUCGUUUAAAUGAAAAUUAUUCGAAAGGCUUGGAAAAAAAGUCAAAUAAUAUUGAUGAAAAAUUAGAAAUUUCACUAACUAUUGCCAUUAUGAAUGUACAUUUCAGACAUUAAAUCUGAUGAAAGUAAUAUCUACGUCGUGUGCACUGCCGAAGGGGAGUACAAGAUUCAGGAGAAACCUGCAGCUAGACAAACAAAAACGACCAAAACUCCAUUCAAGGCUUCGUCGCCGAUGCGGGUUGUUUGCAUUCUAGGCGGAUUCACAUUCCCAAUCUCCGAUGGCGAUGAAGUGGAACGAUUGGAAAAAACCAUUUCGGAACGGGCCGACAUUCGCGAGGAAUAUGUGAAAUUGUUGAAGCGCAAAUCGAAACAUAUCAAACUAUUCCAAUUUAUGCCGUCAGUUUUCUCGGAUGAAGCUCUGGAAGGAUAUAACUUCAAUGGAGCAAACGUGCUUGGUAGGCGCAAGAUCGCCAUGAAAGGUUACAAUAUUUUCAGCAGUUGUUUCAUGGAUGCUUACGAAUCGGAAGGGCUAACCAUAGAAGAACUGGCCAACCAAAUAACCACGGCCAUCAAGCAGACUCGUAACAGAAUGCGUCAGCGUACCUUCCGGGUGAAGAGAUCUAUCGAGAAGAUGUUGAAGGAAAAAUCGGAACACUAGCUGGUUGUGUUCGUUCUAGAGUAAACUGGAAAUUUCACCGAUAACCCGUUGGGACUGUUGUAGGAAAGAAUUAGUUCAGUACUCGAUUAGAUUCAUACGUGACCGAUUAUGAUUUUUGUGCUUACUGUUUGAUUGGAACAAAUCAACUUGAUAUUUCUCAUGCAAACAAUAUAAAAACAAUCAUGAUUCUUGUACACAUUGGUUAUUUAAAAAUUCGGUUAUUACAAAUAAAGUUAUUAAUUUUGUCAAAUAAAUAAAUAAGUUAAAGAUAGAGCUAGUAGGAAACAGAGAAAAAAAAACUAAAUGACAAUAAUAUCUGAAUUAAGUUGUAGAACACUGCGAAACGGCAUAGCUUUAUUUUUAAUCUAGUACCUCAUUUAUGCAACAUCAAACCACUUCAAACUGUUUUCUCUAUUCAAUAGAAAUAGUCGUGGAGGACAUAAAGCUGGAAAGCAUUCCCAUCCAAGUGGAUUCUACACUUCCAGCUAGCGGUAAUGCAGUACUAGAACAAAUAGCAGAAUCUCACAAAGAUGAGGAUAUAAAGUUGCAUAAAGUAGAUCCACGUGUACAUGAAGGUGUGGCCGGCAAACCACUUCAUAUGCAGCUAAAAAUCAGCCCCAAAGAGCGACGUCCUCCGAGUAGAAAGCAAUCUAAAUUGGUUCGCGUGGCUGGAUUUGAAUUUCCUCUGACAUGCGAAGAGGAUGUCGACCGGUUGGAACUGAUGGUCAAACGGAAUCCUAUCAUCAGAAACCAAUAUAUGAAAUAUCUGGCAGCCAAUAAACUACCAAACAUGGAGAUUGCUCACAUCCUUUACCGAUUUUUCAACGACGAAGCCCUCUCGAAUUUCAACUGGACUGGCCAGGAACGGUACGACUCUAGUGCUUCGUGUAAAAAGAAAGCCAUGCAAAAGCUCGACAUUUUCAAUUCAUGUAUGCUAGAAGCGUGGUCCAGCCAUGGUGUUACGCAGGACGCCCUGGCUGGUUCGCUGAAGAAAGCUGUGCAGCUGGUUGCUCGACGGCGGUACAAUCUCAUCUACAAUCAGCGGAAACGAAUUCAAGCGCUGGAUCCCGAACACUGACGUUUUCCAGUGCAGGUCGUGGAAUAACACAGCUUCAUACACCGUUAUCAUUUAACUAAAUUUUUCUUCUAAUCUAGUACCACUGCUGAGUUUUGCCUUCUAAAAUUUAAGUUGUAACUAGAAAAAUACAAUAUAUUUCUUUUUGAUAUAGUACUUCACACGUUUCAAUCGUUUUCAGCUGGCAAACUCUUCAAAUUAAUUGGAACGAAAAUUUCGUCCAAUUUUAUACAAUUAAGUUUUUCUGUUUUCUUUGCAGCAACAACUGGGAACAAAAUGGAAACGUCUACAACUUAUCCGAAAAUUGAAAUCAUUUCACAAAUACGAUUGCAUCCACCACAAGAAAAACCAACGAUUUCGCGACUGCACGGUUUACUGAGAAGAUCUAGCGCGGAAGGGGCAUCUGGAAAAGUCCCUUUGUACAGUGGCAGCGACAUCUACAUAGCAUUGGAGGACCUGGUAAAAAUCUAUUCUUCCAACUCGGCUCUCUAUACUGCCCGACUGAUGGACAUAAUAUUCGGUAGAGAGAUAUUGAAUAAUGCAUGCAUUGAACCAGCGGGGAAUGAAGACGAUUUGGAACAACUAGAUUCACAUAAACUGCGAUCUGUGAUUGGUAAGGACGUUUCUCGGCCUGUCGGGUAGUAUCAGAUCGGUGUUCAAUCAACACAUUUUUUUUUGUUUACAGUGCAUGUGAUUAAUGUUUUCAAAAUUCAAAACAUUGAAAUAUCAGAGUCGACUGUAUUGGAAUACGUACGUCAUCGGCUAUGCUUCCUAAAACAAAUGAAAAAGAAAAAAGUUAUUCAAGAGCAGUGUGCAAUCGAAUGUAGUACUAGUACUACGUCAGUUUAAAUUUCUGGUGCGGUAUUUGAAAAAAAAAACACAUGAUUCGAUUUGUAUGGUUACAAUACAAAUCGCUGAACCUUUGCAACUUAUCUACUAACAUUGUUCCUUUUUUUUAUAGAUCAGCGUAAUCUGAAACAGGCAACAAUGGUUAUCAACGUUCCAUGGAAUCGAAUACAGUAUUGAAUUGCUUAUUACCGUCAUUUUUUAAAGAAUUCGUUUUCGAGGAAAUAUAUGAAAUUUUAAAAAUCAACGAAUCUUAUACUUCUUCACAUAAAUUGAGUCAUUUCUACCAUUUGAUGUAUUCUAAAUUAACCGUUCUUGUAUCGUUAUGCAUUUUCAGGUUCCUCUAAACUCCGGGCGGCCAAGUUCGGUUACACCCAGAAGGGCAGGGCGAUGCUGCUGUACAACGGAUAUGCCUACAUCAAAGACCGCCAGGCUCAGAAGAGCUGCAACUGGAAGUGCUCGUUGUUCGGAAAGCUAAAAUGCCGAGCCAGGGCCGUCACGAAGGAGGUUAACGGGCGGCAGAUGAUGAAAAUCACCAAACCCCUGCAUAACCAUACUCGCGAUGUGUAUUCGUUUGAUAAGUGUAAAAAAUCUACGGAAUAAGUUUCUGACAAAAACGUCUGAUGUUCUAACACAAUAAAACAUAAGCAAACUUUUUAUUGUAUCAGUAACCAACUUAAAAUUAUGUUCCAAAAAUUAUCAUUAUAAUAAAAUGUACUCUUCUAUUAUUUAUGUACAAACUCUAGUACUUCAUGUCUUAAGAUAUCGUUUCGAGUAUAUUUUUGGUGGUAUUCUAUGUCUUCCUUGUGUUUAUUAAAAUUAUAUUUUUUUCUCUGAGAUUGACUGAUAUUGGAUCUUCGAUUAGUGAAAACAUUAGUGAUAUUGUAGUACUAGAAUACAAAGUGCAGACAAACCGAAACCUAAUUGAUACGACACGAAUGAGUCACUAACAUUUUUAUCUGUAUCCGCAACAGGAAACGUAAUUUAUGUGCUAUCGAAGCGUGGCACCAAGCAUUUGUUUCACGAUGGAAACACCUACACUCCAAAUGAGCGACCCUACCCAGGGCAGCGGUCUCGAACGUGGAAAUGCUCGUUGUACUACCGGCUCAAGUAUCGCGCCCGCAUUGUCACCAGUGAAGCCGAUGGGCUUCCCAAGCUGUGGGUGGUCGUUGCUGAGCAUACCCACUCGAAAGUGUUCCCCAAUUUAAGCCAUAAAUUUCGCAGUUUGUUCUAGUGAGUUGAACAAAUUAAACAAUCUAGUCUACUAUUCAAGGAACUCAAUGCUUUAUAAGUAAACAACCCUGCAUACUUUAAGAGCAUUUUUUACAAUAGGAAAGAUGCGGAUUCUUCGUAAAUCUACUUUAUUACAGUUAUUCAAAAUAUAUAGGUAUUCAGUAGAGUGCGUCUGAUGGAGUACUAGAUUUGUAGUGAUGAGCUAUAUAAUGCCCAUGAUGUUAACACUAUGUUACGCAUAUUGUAUUUUCAUUAUAUAACAAGAAGUUCUAGAUACUGGAUACCGUCACUUUCAGAAUAUCACAGUUCUUUGGUUGAUUUGCCAUAUGUUUCAAUUAGUUCUUUUUGCUACAUUGUAUCAGUAAACGUAUCAUGCUUUAACGACUAAUUUAUACCAUUGCAGAUAUUGUUUUCGUGGUGAAUAACGUGGGUGGCCUUCAACUAUGCGUAGAUGGAUGUCCCUUCAUCCGAUCGAGGACAACCGACGAAGUUCAGUAUUGGACGUGUAAACAACGAAAACGUCUAGGGUAAGUUAAUCGUUUCCAUUCGCAGCUUCCCGGUUCGUGCCUCUGUACGUCGUCGAGAGAAAGGACAAAAACCACUGGUUAAGCUGAGUGGAUGUCACAACCAUCUGCUCAUCACGGAGCGCCAGAGAUUUGGAGAGAGUUCCACGCUAAUGCAAAUAAUCGCACGUGGACGCCAAGUUGUAGCAGAGAAAAGGAAACGUGCCACUUCGAAGCAAAGGCAAGCUGCAGCAACGGAAUAGUGUUUUUUUAUUUGAAGAAUAAACAUUUGAGAGAAGCUUCGUCUUAGUGUUCUAGUACUACAUUGAUUUGUUUCGACCUUUGUGAUUUGAUCUUAAACGACGAAAUGUUAAAUGAAUAGUUUCUUACAAGACACACAGAUUAAAAUCUGGUACAAUUCAUCAGUUUGUAUAAAAAUUCUGGUUAGUACAAGCCGUCGUGACUAGUUUAUCAAUAAUGUUUACUGCUGUUUCAAUAGUUCUCAAUAAUUACAUCUGUUUUUUUAAUGCCUCCUCAGUGAAACGAAGAUAUGCCGGAGCACAGAUCGAGUACCGAGGCAGAGACGUGACGUUUUCGCCGAGCUGCCGCGGUAUGCCAAAAAUGACUCUGGAAGGGUACGUCUACAUACGGAAUGCUGGCAAUGCCACCAAAACGUACUGGCUGUGCGAGCGUGGAAAGCGAUUCAAAUGCCGCGCCCGUGCGAUAACGUACCGCGGCACGGGACGCAUUACCAUCAAUGAACAUUCCCACAAUCACAUGCCGGGCUUUUAGGAAAAAACUGCGUGGGUGGAACUGAAUUCUAUGAUAAAAUGUACUCCGUUUUGUCAUACAUGAAUUUCGUAGUACUAGAUCAGUGCCGUGCAUUUAUCACUAUCAUGCCGUUUCAGAUUCUCUAACUUCUCUAGUACUUUAUCAGUUACCUAGCUCAUUUCAAAUGUCUCAAAUCCAAUCAUCAACAUACUGCUAUUCAAAAAAAGGACAACGCGACCCGAAACUGAUCUUCGAUGGAUAUUCUUUGUACAGAAAUAGAUAAAAGGAAACGUGCUACUUCAAAUUGAACACGAACGGUGUGUUUUGAAAUCUAAAAAAUAAAUAUGCCAGAGAAGCAUCGUCUUAGCGUUCUAGUACCCAAUUGUCAUGUUUCUACUUAAGUGACCUCAGACAACGUAAUAUGAAAUGGAAAAUUAGUUGCAUGAUACACUGAUUGAAAUCUGGUACAAUUCUCUAGUUUGUGUGAAUUACUUGUUACAAAAAAAGUAUUCGGUAUUAAGUAUCGUGACUAGUUUCAUUGAUAGUUCUUAUAAUAGUUGUUUUCCAAGAUUUCUCCAAUGCGAUCUGAUAGAAAUAGAAAUCUUCUAAUUCCACAGCAUAGUUCUUCGUAUUAUAGUCAAUCUCUGUUCGCAAAACAUGUGUUUCAAUAGUGAACUUUAAAAGGAGCCUGAAACAGUUUUUAACAGUAUAAUUCUAGUAUAUAUUGGAGUAUAUGUAAUUGUAGAUUUUUGUAUUGUAUGGAGGUAUAAUUGUCAAUCGAUUUCUACCAAUUGUAGCGAUUUAAAAGGCUGCAAGCCUUAUGUUACAUGAAUUUACCAAAUAAAUAAAUAAAUAAAUAAAUAGUCGAAAUAAUUCUCUAUAAUAAUAUGCAUUCUUUUCUCCUCAGUCAAACGAAGAUAUGUCGGAGCCCAGAUCGAGUACCGAGGCAGAGGCGUGACGUUUUCGAUCAGACGAGGUCGUCGUUGUAUGCCCAAAAUGACGCUGGAAGGGUACGUGUACAGACGGAAUGCUGGCAAUGCUAUCAAAACGUAUUGGCGUUGCGAGCGUGAAAAGCGGUUCAAGUGUUGCGCCCGUGCGAUAACGUACCGAGGUACGGGGCGCAUUAUCAUCAACGAACAUUGCCAUAAUCAUAUGCCGGAAUUUUAGGGAAAAAUGGCAUUAAUGGAAUAAAUCCGAUGAUAAAAUAAACUCCGUUUUUGCCAUACAUUUAUUUCGUAGUACUAGAUCAAUGGCGUUCAUUUGUAACUAACUUCCCGUUUCAGAUACCCGAACUGCUCUAGUACCCAAUAUUCACAUUGACCUCGUUCAUUCCAGAUACCUCGCAUCCAACCCUCAACAGACUUCUGUUCAUCAAAGGACAACGUGGCCCGAAACUAAUCUUCGAUGGAUAUUCUUUCAACAGAAACAAAGGCCACGGUCAAGCCACCUACUGGCGUUGUACGAAACAUCAAUCGCUCGGCUGCAAAGCCAAAUUGGUUACCACAAAUCUGGGCAAAAAGAUUUCCAUCGGUACUCCGGUUCACUGUCACAAGGCUGAUUACGGUCAGCUGAUCUGAAUAUCGGAAGGAAUAAAACAGGCUGGGAAGGGUUCGGACGAUAUUUGAAACAGUAAUUGAAAUUGUUGUACUAGAUUCUUGGAACUGACCUUUGAUAAUGUGUUUUCCAUGCUUUUGCGGUUCCUGCGGUUUCAGCCAUUAUGUAAUGCUUUGUAGAUCACUAUAGUAACUGUAGUACAGCCUUGAUUAAGUGUCAAUUUUGGUGUAUUUUUUGCGAAAUUAUAUAUCGGAUGUUUUCAUCUAGUACUGCGUUUAUGUUUUCUUCAAACAUGCAGAGCUUUGCGAUCAAUUUUGCAUUGUGUUAUUUGUGUAUCAUGCCCGCUUAACAAAACAAAAAAUGUUCAUUUCAGAUCCACUGAAUCCUGCUCACAACAGGCUGCUGUUUAUAGUGGGACAGCGCGGUCGAAAGUUGGUAUUUGACGGAUUUUCUUUUCACAUAGACAGACAUCGAAACGAGUUCAUCUAUUGGCAUUGCUCAAAGCACUCUUCGCUUGGUUGCAGGGCAAGAUUGAAAACCACAAAUAAAGGUAAAAAAGUAUCCAUCGGCACGCCGGUGCAUUGUCACGCUCCCGAUAUUGGCUCACUGAUUUGAAACACGUGAGAGGCCAUAAAAACUGAUUAUUUGAGCUUUGGGCUCAAGAGUGAAUUUGGAAUAAAAACUUCUAUGGACUGAGAGACAAUAAAAAAUACAAGGUUACACCGCUAAAUGACAGACACAGUAAUAUAAUCAUAAGAAAUUAAUACUAAUGAUUGAAGAAAAACUAGUACUACAGUGGCUUGUUGAGACCUUUUGGAAAAUGUCACAUUGGAAGCCUUUAAGUCAUCUGAGAAAAUUGUCUUAGGAUGGAACUGUCUAGAACAUCAGGGUUAUGGGAUAUUCGAAAAAAAAACAAACUAGUACUGAAAAACUUUUCCUUGAGGUUCUACUGAUUAUGAGUAGUGCAAAUGUAUUUUGACAUUUAUUUCUAGUUGUACUUCUAGUACCAACAACUUUGAAAAAAAGGAAUAGGAAGCAAUCAGUGAAGUACUAGAUUGAAAGUAGUGAGCUGGAUUUUUGUAUGGUGAGAUGAUCAAUUCUCCGUUUUUGCAAUGAAAUGGUGUAAACAGCGUGGGUUAUAUGAUUUCUUGUCUAAUUUGAUGCUGUUUGAGCGAAACUUUGGGUAACUGUGUUGUUGAAGUUGCAAGAAAUAAAUAAUACAACAACACAGCUACCCAAAGUUUUGCUCAAACACCAUAAAAUUAAGCAAGAAAUCAUAUAACCCACGCUGUUUACACCAUUUCAUUGCAGAAACGGAGAAUUGAUCAUCUCACCAUACAAAAAUUCAGCUCACUACUUUCAAUCUAGUACUUCACUGAUUGCUUCCUAUUGGUAGUUUUUUUUCGUAAUGCUAGAAAUGAUUGAACUGUGAAGGUUGAAUCAUGCAUACCAAUUUUGUUUGCAACGUGCCUAUGAACAUUUUGAAGUACUAGAUUGAAAAUUUUAACUUGCGGAUACAUUAGCUUUGCUCAUCCGUAGUAUAACCUACGUGUGAAUUCACUAUUAUCACUUGAUUACCCUUGUUACUGGACGCUCUAGUACUUCAAUGUGGAUAUUUAAUGUGUAUUGAUACUGAGAUUUCGGUGGAUUUAAUGGAACAUUUGUGGGAGUCUGAAUUAGAGGUGUAUUUUAGUACUGGAUUAUAUUCAAUAGGAAGCGAUCAGUGAAGUACUAGAUUGAAAGUAGUGAGCUGGAUUUUUGUAUGGUGAGAUGAUCAAUUCUCCGUUUCUGCAAUGAAAUGGUGCAAACAGCGUGGGUCAUAUGAUUUCUUGCCUAAUUUGAUGCUGUUUGAGCAAAAGUUUGGGUAACUGUGUUGUUGAAGUUGCAAGAAAUAAAUAAUACAACAACACAGUUACUCAAACUUUUGCUCAAACAGCAUCAAAUUAGGCAAGAAAUCAUAUAACCCACGCUGUUUGCAGCAUUUCUUUGCAGAAAUGGAGAAUUGAUCAUCUCACCAUACAAAAAUCCAGCUCACUACUUUCAAUCUAGUACUUCACUGAUUGCUUCCUAUUAAUAUUAUCUGCAAAAUAUACCAAGUUUAUAUACGCUGCCAAUAUAUUUGAGAAACUGUGGAUGACGCUAUCCCACGCAUAAUCACGGACCGUUCUAGUACUGCACUGUAUGAUAACAUUAGACAAUGGAAGCAAGCAUUUAGAUUAUGGAAUCAAACUGAUUUUGUGAGUUAGUAAUUAAAAUUUUAUUUUCCCGAUAAUCACUAGGCCUUUUUGUUUCCAGGCACAACAUAUUUGCUUGAAGGAUUCCUGUGGCUGGUAGAACGAUGAUUUCCAUUCUCGAUCAUGAAUUAUUACAUCCAAUCAAUGAUCUUUUUAGCGGAAUAUGAAAACUGGUAUAAUUAACCACACAUUAAGUUGAAAAAAAUAGAAAAUUCGAUAAAUGCAUUAAGUAAAUAACUAUCUUGUUACUAUUAUUGUUAAAAUAUUAUUAGGUUGACUCACAUGAACAUCCUAAUCAUGAACUAGUACUGCAUGCUUAACAUUUUAUUGACAAAAGGUGUUAUUUCAUGAUUCAUGGAUCACGUGUGUAGUUCGAGCAUAGUAAUUAUGUACUACAUAGUCGUGUGUGAUAAUCUAGUACUUUAUCAUAUACUUUUUCGCUUCUAUCCCGUUGCAGCCUUGCUCAGCACGAGUUUCAUGCAGCAAUUUCAACCCCAAACACUUCCGUCGUCGCCUCAGUUCACCUUUAAAACAUCCCAACGGAGCGGCCGUCAUCUGCUGGUGGUAAAUGGGGUAACAUUCUUCCGGAAUCGCCAUCGAAACAACAAGCAGUACUGGAAGUGCAACCAGUACUACAAGUGCAAGUGCCCGUGCAUUGUCGUGAUCGAUGAGAUCAACUCGCGCAUGAACGUGAAGCAUGUUCACAACCACGACACGUCGUCGGGUGCCGCCGGUGGUGGCUCUAGUAGGCGAAAUAGUCUUCUUCCGCCGAUGUUAGAUCCAAGUACUUCGGCCCUGGCAGGAUCAUUUCUUAACGAUAGUCUUCUGGUUGGAAGUAGCAGUGCACUGGCUGCCGCUGCUUCAUUUGCCCAAACUGUGCAAUCUAGAGUGUUUAUGAAUAAAAGAUAAUAAAAUAUGAUUAUUACGGAAUGCGAAUUUUUCGUUACAGUUUACUCAAUCUAGUACUACACUCUGUGUGUUCACCUCAAACAAUGUGGGUAACACUCUCCUCUUUCCAGCAGUUCUCAACAAAAGACGCUCCAAAGUCUACGCAAACAACCUGGAGCAGAAGAUAUCGGACAUGGAGGUAGCCCGGUUUAUGCUUAGUCAACGCAAGGCCAAGAAGCUGCUCUAUCGGGGGUUCGAGUACGUCAAAGAUCGAGACUUCCCCGACUCGACUAAUUGGCGGUGUGCUUUGUUCCGGCGCCAGAAAUGCCGCGCUCGUGCGAUAACCACUGCCAUCGAAGGCGUUACCUACGUAAGGCUGACCAACGACCAACACAAUCAUGAUUUACAAAUGUAUCGCAAGGCUUCGCUACUAAUGCCAAGAGAGGGGCAAUGAAUAGGCGAGUGCAAUUCUGUUGAAAAAUAUUUCACGUUUUAUAAAGACAAUUAAACCGUCUUCGACCUUGCGGCCUCUACAGACUGAACAAUACUAACAUGACAACGGACAACACAAAUUACACCCAGUGGCCCAGUGGAGAAUUUUCCGUUUGACGAAAAGUUUUCUCCGACUCCAAGGCUUACGAGACACCUAAACAACUGACGCCGCUAACCGCUCGGCCACGAAGCCGCUGGAAUACGAAUACAUGGAAAACUGCUAGCCACAAAAGGAAGAACAAAUCCAGAGUUGUAGUACCACAUACAAGAAUAUUGGACCCAUCCUGCCAUACGGUCAGCUACAGUUUCAGUCAAACGGGUAAAGCCAUAGUCACCAUCGAUGGGUACAGGUUCCGCAGAUCUUCAGCACGGGGUUCGAAAAUCUACUGGAAAUGCUCCAGAGUCAAUACCAAAAAGUGCUUAGCCCGAAUUACUACUUGCGCCAAUAGCUCGAAAAUAUUCUACAGCUGUCGUCCUCACACUCAUCCGCCGAAUGUCUAGACAUGAAUAACGCACAGUGAUGAAGCUAGCUGCUAUGCAAAGCGAGCACUUUGUACAAUGAACUGUUCUUGAGGCUUGUUUCAAAUAUAUGUCUCUUAGGCUCGUGCAGGAUAGCGACUUGCUAUUGACGAUAGUUGAAGGCCCGAGUAGUAUUGGAUAUGAUAAUGGAGAUGGUCUUCAUUAACGUCCAGCGUUGCUGAUGACUACUGGCGACAUUAAGUUGUACCAACAUUUUAUUUUUAAUUCAUUAUUGCAGGUUUCAAUCCAUGGGCAUUGAAUUCUACAAAACGUGCAAGAGGUUCCAGAGUCAUAAAACGGCACUCGAGAAUAUUGGAUCCGUCCUGUCAUACGAUCAGUCACGGUUUCAGCCAAAUGGGUAAAGUCAUAAUCACCAUCGAUGGGUACAGCUUCGGGAGGUCUUUCUCCCAGGGAACGAGAAUCUACUGGAAAUGCACCAAAGUCGUAACCGAAAAGUGUCCUGCCAGGAUUACCAAAUGUGUCAAUAGUUCGAAUAUAAUCCACGGUGUUCGGCCUCACAAUCAUCCACCGUACGUUUAGGCAUGAAUCACUAAAUGAUUUUGGAAAAUAAAGCGCAAUGACAAAGAUAUUUGCAGUGCAAAGCGUGAAUUUUGAACAGCUGUCUCCUCUCAUCAAUCAUAUCUAACACACAUAUAUUCAAUGUUCGUUUUCCUCAACAGCCGAAAUCUCAUGGAAGUACCAGAACCCUCCGGCGGAAUCAGAUAACGAUAGCGAUGACGGUUUUUAUCGAUCAAAGUCCCUGCUCCCGUUGGAU